CUCUGAGUUCGGGAGGAAAGCCUUGAAAUCCAGGUAGGGGACCCAGAACUCCCUUGAUUAGUGCAAUUUCAUUUUAUAUAAAUGUCUAUGCAUAUUUGAUAUUGCAUGAUUCGGUUAUCAUAAAAAUGGUAACUGGUGUUAUGAGAUUUUGAUGGCUUGAGAGUGAGUGGGGCAUAGCGACUUCCUUGGGCUUUAAUACCCUAAACCUCCGGAGGGGCUGUAUGCACCGAAGAGUGUCUGACAUCCUUUGAGGUGUGACACUGCUCCUAGGAGAUACGGCGUAAGUGGACACUCUCACUACACUUACAUGUUGUACACACAUAUAGUGAGGUAAGUUAAUAGUGGGUCUACAAAUGACCGGCCAUCAGGUACAGUUUUAUGGCGCCGCAUUUAUUUGAUCAUAGAAAUGUUUUUGAAAGUUUGUCGUUCAUUAAAUAUUUGGAUUCAAUCUUUUUGUUAUACUGGGCCCUAUGAAACUAUUAUUUAUCUGUUUUCAAACCUAGUUAAGGGUAAAGUUCCUUGAGCAGUGAGGACGAAAGCUCACCCCUACAACAGUUUGGUUGGAGGUACUAUGCAUUGGGACGGGAUAGUGACAAGGAGUUGGGUGUGCAUAUUUAUGAUCGGUAAUUUUGGGUUUCCAUGAUGUUCCCUUUAUUUUUGUACUUAGAGUUACAUUGUUAGAAAUUCUAUUUUGUUGGUCUUGUUAUGUCCUCAUUCGUAAGUCUAUUCCUUGAAGUUCGUUAAUUAUCGUUCAUUUCUUACAUUAAGUUUUAGGCGAAUGAAAGAGUCAAAUUCUUUUAUGGGUUUGCUUUAUGACAUUUUCAUUGGAGUUUGUAUUACUUUGAGUUCGUCAUUUUAUAACCAUUCCUCGUAUCAGGUUUUGGGCGAAUAAAAGUACUUUAAGAAAAAUAAAGAUUUUACACCUCAAAAUAUUUUUACGCUUCUGUUGUGUUUUUCUUAAAUGUUUUCUUAAAUCAACUGCCUUGCGUUUCUCUUUGUUUUAUUUAGAGACUUGUGACACUGAGACGUGUCUAAACUGAGGAGGUGCAGUUUGGGACGUUACAAGUUUGAUGGGGUGAUUGUGUUAUUAUUUAUGUUAUUACAUGAAUUGUUUGGGAUAUUGGAUUAUUUGGUAUUGAUUUGUUUGACAUUGAGUUCUUUGAUAUGAAUUGGAAUAAGUAUUGGAUGAUAUUGAACUUUUGAAUCGAUUAUGACAUGUUUAUAUUAGAAAACAUGUGAUUCUAUUUUGAAAUUAUAUUACAUUUGUCAUGGGAAAUGAGGUUGGAGAUUAAAAGAAGAAUCGAGUGUUUUGGGAUAUAUGGAACUUUAUUAUUAGGAAACCAUUUGUGUAGUUGAGUUUUCUCAUGGGUUAUCCUCAGGAUCUAUGAUUAGCCCACAUGUGCACAAAUUUGGAGAAUGUAUGCCCCAUCAGCGGCGGACGUCGAUAAAACGAUCUUAUCAAGUUGCGGAUCGGGAGACCAUGAGUAUAACAAGACGACUAACAAAGGGAAAAAUUAUAUUCGAGGGUGAAGUGAGGUGUGGGGUAAGAGUUAAGUUCAUAUUAUAUUUAUGUAUUCCCGAUAUGUCAUAUUUGUUUGUUUUUGUUUGAAGUUAAUGCCAUGUGUAUUUAGCAAUUUAACUAGCUCUACUGAGCGUAGCUCACCCUUAAUCAAACUCAUUGCAGGUGUGGACCUUGAAACAUCGUGUAUGUUAUAUUGUAAAUUAAGAUUUUUUAGUUUUCUUUGUAAAUAGGGCUUAAAUAAAUAAUGGAUGUUUCGAAAAAAAAUGCUAUUUUUGUUUGUUUGUUGUGUGCUUGUAAUGUUUUAAACAUUUUGUACUAUAAGUGUCUUCUUAUAAGGCUUGUAACGUAAAUAAAGGUUCAAAGGUUUUGUUUUCUAUGUCAUGUAAUGAUAUCAGUCUCAUUUUAAUUAUGAAUAUUAAAUUGUAACGUAAAUAAAGGUUCAAAG
rnacentral:lncRNA from 1 species